rnacentral:lncRNA from 1 species
GGUUGAACUUGAGUUUGUGGUGUUCAUUGAAUUUGAGUUUGUGGCAUAUUUGAAAUUGAGUUUAUUAUGUUUUUUGAACUUGAGGUUCUGGUGUUUUUUGAACUUGAGUUUGUGGAAAUUGUUGAACUUGGGCUUGUGUCUUGUUUGAACUUGAGUUUGUGGUGUUUGUUGAACUUGAGUUUGUGUUGUUUUUGAACUUCAGUUUGUGUGGUGUUUUUGAACUUGAAUUUGUGUCGUGUUUGAACUUGAGUUUGUGGCGUGUUUGAACUUGAGUUUGUGGUGUUUUUUGAACUUGAGGUUGUGGAAAUUGUUAAACUUGAGAUUUCGGUGUUGGUUGAACUUGAGUUUGUGGUGUUUUUUGAACUUGAGUUUGUGUCGUGUUUGAAUUUGAGCUUGUGUGUUUUUUUAACCUUAAGUUUGUGGCAAUUUAUGAACUUGAGUUUUUUUAACUUGAGUUUGUGGUCUUUGUUCAACUUGAGUUUGUGGUUUUUAGUGAACUCUAGUUGGUGGCAUCUUUGAACUUGAGUUUGUUUGUUUUUUUAACUUGAGUUUUUGUCGUGAAUGAACUUGAGUUUGAGGUGUUUUUUGCAUUGAGGUUGUGGUGUUUUUGAACUUGAGUUUGUGUUGUUUUUGAACUUAAGGUUGUGGAAAUGUUAAACUUGAGAAUUGGGUAUUGGUUGAACUUGAAUUUGUGUGUUUUUUGAAUUUGAGAUUGUGGCGUGUUUGAAAAUGAGUUUGUGGCAUGUUUGAACUUGAGUUUGUGUUGUUUUUGAACUUGAGGUUGUGGAAAUUGUUAAACUUGAGAUUUGGGUGUUGGUUGAACUUGAGUUUGUGGUGUUUUUUGAACUUGAGUUUGUGUCGUGUUUGAAUUUGAGCUUGUGUGUUUUUUUAACCUUAAGUUUGUGGCAAUUUAUGAACUUGAGUUUCUUGAACUUGAGUUUGUGGUCUUUGUUCGACUUCAGUUUGUGGUUUUUAGUGAACUCUAGUUGGUGGCAUCUUUGAACUUGAGUUUGUGGCAUUUGUUGAACUUGAGUUUGUGAUGUGUUUGAACUUGAGUUUUUUGGUGUUUUUGAACUUGAGUUUGUGUCGUGUUUGAACUUGAGUUUGUGGCGUGUUUGAACUUGAGUUUCUGCUGUCUUUGAACUUGAGGUUGUGGCAAUUGUUAAACUUGAGGUUUGGGUGUUGGUUGAUCUUGAGUUUGUGUCUUGUUUGAACUUUUGUUUUUGGAUUUUUUGAACUAGAGUUUGUGUGUUUUUUGAACUUAAGUUUGUGGCAACUUAUGAACUUGAGUAUAUUGAAAUUAAGUUUGUGGCAAAUGUUGCACUUGAGCAAAUGUUGCACUUGAGUUUGUGGUUUUUUUUUAACUUGAGUUUUGUGUCGUGUUUGCACACCAGGUGUUUUUGAACUUGAGUUUCUGUGUUUGUUGAACUUGAGGUUGUGGCAAUUGUUGAACUUGAUUUUUGAGUUUGUAGCGUGUUUGAAUUUGAGGUUGUUGCAAUUUUUAAACUUGAGAUUUGGGUGUUGGUUGAACUUGAGUUUUUGAACUUGAGAUUGUGGUGUUUUUGAACUUCAGUAAGUGUGUUUGUUAAACUUUAGUUUAUGCUGUGUUUGAACUUGAGUUUUUGGUGUUUUUGAAAUUUACUUUGUGUGUUUGAACUUGAGUUUGUGUUGUGUUUGAACUUGAGUUUUUAGUGUUUUUGAUCUUGACUUGGUGGUGUUUUUGAACUUGAGUUUUGUGUUUGAACUUGAGUUUGUGGUGUUCGUUGAACUUGAGUUUGUGUCGUGUUUGCACUUGAGUUUUGGUCUUGAUUUUGUGUGUAUGUUGAACUUGAGUUUGUGGUGUUUUUGAACUUGAGUUGGUGGUGUUAUUGAACUUGAGCUUGUGUUUGAACUUGAGUUUGUGGUUUUUGUUGAACUUGAGUUUGUGUUGUUUUUGAACUUCAGUUUGUGUGGUGUUUUUGAACUUGAAUUUUUGUCGUGUUUCAACUUGAGUUUGUGGCGUGUUUGAAAAUGAGUU